AUUUCACAACAAUGGAAUGACACGACCAAGCUGCACACGAUCUUUAGUUCUUAAUACAAAGAUCAGAAAGAAAAUAAAUCAGAAAGAAUAUUACAACACAUUACAUUUUCUGGUGAAGCAGUUUAGCCGUGUCUCCUACUGAGGUCUGAACCACCACAGGACAUGAACGCAGGGGAGCGACUGAGGAGCGUGGAGGUCAGUUCUUCUGGGGUGUGGAGGACGUGACGGCGUUUAUUUGAGGCCUGAAUCUGCACCAGAAGAAGAAAUGAUAGGCACCUACCAAGGCCCAAGUCUCAGGGGAGGCCCAGCUGGACCCACCUGGACAGAUGGAGUCCCGUGAGUCCCAACGUCUUUACAGAACUACACACCGAGUGUCCCUGCCCAUCAGGACCGGUGUCCUUUCAUCAUCCACGAGCUCCACAGGAAGCCUUCAGUCCACUGAUGUCUGUGAAGAACUGCGCUUUCCAGCAGGCUCUGAGGAUUCCCAGCUGGGGUUCAGGACUGUUGCAGCUCUGAGUCUGUGGUCCGUGUACACUUGGUCUGCAUGCUUUCUGGGGAAGCCUGAGCCUUGGCACUCCGAGGAGCUGGUGAGGAAUAGUGAGUUCUAGUAUGCUUGUCUGAGAAGGACUGUGUCCUACUUGGAGUAGAGCUAGAAAUGGAUUCCCUAUUUAUAGUGCCUCAGCCCCUUCCUGCAGGACACCAUCAAUAUGUCCCACACAGGAGUAGCAUUUAGAGAACAAAACACAGGUGACAGGAAAGGAUGCAUGAAUAGCAGCAGGAAUGCAAGGACAGCACGGGGCUCUGGGAGACCCAUCGAGGGGGCAGCACUUGGAUUCUUUAUUAAACGUUGAGUAGAAAUUUCCCAAGAGAGGAUGAGGAGGAGAUUUCAGUGUGUCUGGUGUGCUUAGAAUACGGUGAAGGUCAGGUUCAUUAAACUGACCAGUUGCACCUGUGAGAGCAGGGAGAGCAGAGGAAAGAAAGGGAUUGAAGCGAUUGAGUCGUGACCCACAUACCACACCAGGCCGCUCCAGCUUGUUGCUGGACACGACGGCCCAUCAUGGAAGGAGUUUAAAAACAGUGCCAGAUUUGAGUUGUAUUUUAGGACAUUGUAGCAAAGAUGGGCAGGGACAGUUGGGCCCGUCAUUGCUGACGGGACUGACUUCACCUCGAUAAUACGCACAUUCACACUGUCAUUCCCUGGACAGGCAGAUUAUGUUCUACGCUGCAUCUGGCUCACAAAUGCUGGUGAGGAAGAAGAUGGUUUUUAUACUUAUUAAUUUUAAAGCUGACCUGGAUGUAUGACCUUCAACUGUGUUUUUUUCUAACUUAAAAGGAUACACAUGUUACAUUCAUGUCAUUUUAGAAAUCAUUCUUUCAUUUACAACUACACCUAUAUUCAAAUUAACAGCUAAUUCCAAUUCUAAAAAUGUUCUCUUGAGGAACCUCUUCACCUUCCUUCCACCCCCCAAAAAUCUAUGAGUAAAUUUGAACAUCUUGAUACAUACAAAAUUAUACAUUGUCUGGAUUUUGGGAGAAUAUUUUAGGAUAUUGAUUUUCUUGCGUUAUUUGAGUUUAAACAAUAGUUAACAUAAGUAUUCAUAUGUAGAGGUCUUUGUGCUUCAUUAGAAAUAUAUCUAACUAAACAUAACAACAAAAAGCCUUGGGAAACUACGUAUCCCUUAUACUCUUGUAAUGUUUUUCUGUGUGUAACUAAACAUGGGAUACAGCAAAAAUAUUUUCACAUUGUUUAAAAUUAAGAGUAUGUACAAUUCCAUUUCUUCCAUUUAACAGAUAAAAACCCACUAAGUCACUUAGUGUAUUUGGAACCCACACAAUAUGAGGAAAAGUACAUCACUUUUAAUGGUUUCUAAAGGCGAAUAGAAAAGUGAUUCACACAACCAAAGCAAGAAGAUUUUGAACGUAGAAGCAAAGAGAAGCAGAAGCGGAUGUCUAGGUCAGGGGACACCUACCGCACUGUGGCCCCAGGGCCCUGCUGGAAGGUGUUUCUCACCCAGAAUGGCUCACGGCUGCCUCAGCAUCUCCAGUGCUGAGGCUUUUCGUAGGUGACUGCCUCAGAAACAGAAAACGAAUGUCUAGUCGUGUCUAUUUUUCAUAAAAAAAAGACCAGCAAAAUUACAUUGAAUUAACAUUUAUGAAAAUAUAAGCACUGAAAGCUCUUCAGUCUCUAGUCAGUUAAUUGUGGAGUCAUGGAGUUGAGCCUCAGCAGCAUCUAAUUAAAUCAAGAGUUGCCAAAAUCCUUCUACUGUCCAGCCCUGUGGGCAUGUCCUGAGUUUCUCCAGGAGGACCAGGAGGACCAUCCCAUCAUGACCUAACACUGGCUAUGGGAAAUUACAAAGUAAAUUCAUUUUGUCCUGAACCCAUGGUGGGCUCAGGGAGAUGCUUCCUGUCCUCCCAACCCUUGUGAGAGCUGUUACACUGUUCAUGAUGGGCUCUAUAACGUGAACACUCAACAAGCCCAGCUUCUGGGGCCUGCCAUCAUCCCAUGGGGCCACUUGGUCUGUGGCCUGCUACGGGUCACAAAUCACCAAUAUUCCAGUACCCUCUGCCACACACCCUUUGCAGGCAGGCAUGCACCCUCCCACCGUGGGACAACAAAACUAGGAGGAAGAUACAGGUUGGCUUUCUGGCGAGUUCUACUCCAUCCCCUCUACCACACCACACAUGCACACUUCCUUCACCUGUGAGUGGGGAGGGGACACUGCAUUCUCCCCUAACCUAGAAGCUGGAGGAAUGGGCUUUGUGUGUGGGGAGGGGUGCCCCAUGAUGGCUAGUGAAGGAUGGUGAAGGUUUAGGUCUCAAUCUCUGGUUGGGUGCCAACAUCAUCAGCAUUCUGCUGAGUGGACCAUUCUAGCAGAGAAAGAGCCCUGCUGUGGCAUUGCCAGGCAGAGAGGAAGAUGGACCUGUCACUCAAAUCUGGCUCUGGGCAGGUGUACAAGGCGAAUUCCACACACACCUCUGGCAUCAGCAUGGGAGCUGGGAGUGGUAAGUGAGGCUGUGAUUGCAGUGCUGUUGUGAAUCACUAGAAUGGGGAAUGGACAACUACAAUGUGAGGCAGUAUCAACGAAGAUUCAUUGAGCAUAUGUAUUACAAACCCUUGGAAAAUAAAUAAUUUUAUAUGUUUAUAAAUAAUACGUUAAUGAAGUAGAUUAAAUAGAAUCAUUUUUUAAAAAUCUCACUUUACCCAAAGGAAGGCGGAAAACAAAAGAAAAUCAAAUAAGGAUAAAUAGAACAAAUAGAAAACAGUAAACAAAAUGUUGAAUUUUUAUUCAAUCACAUCAAUUAUAACCUUGAAGGUGAAUAUUCUAAACAUGUCUGUUAAAAGACAAAGACUUCCAGAUUGGAUCAAACAGCAAAAGACUCAACUGCAGUCUUUCUGUAAGAAAUUCACUUUAAGCAUAAAGGCAUAAAUAAGUUAAAGUGAAAAGUUGCAGAAAGAUACACCACACAAACACUAACUAAAAGAGAGUUGGAGCAGCUAUAUUAAUAUCAAGGUAGACUUCAGAAAAAGGAACCUACCUGGGACAAAGAGGGAUGUUGCAUAAUAAUGAAGCAAUCAAUUUUUCAAGAAGAUAAAACUAUCCUAAAUAUGCAGGCACCUAGCAAUACCCCUUUAAAAUAUGUGAGACUUAAAAACUAAUAGAACUUUGCAGAUCCGUCUUGCAAUUGCAGUUACACAAGCCAGUACUUGCCUCUAAGUUAUUGGUGGAACAGAAAGACAAAAUAUCAGCAUGGAUAGAGAUGAUGUAAAUGACCCUAUUAUACAAUCUGACCAACUAACAUUCACAGGACACUUUAGAAAAGACUGACCAGAACUGCUUCAAAAUGUCAAAUUCAUGGGGAGACAAAGAAGGCCAAGGCACUGUCAUAGCUGGAGACUGACGACACAUAGCUUCCCUCAAUGUGGGAUUCUGUAUUGGAUCCUGGGGCAGAAAAGGGGCAGUUGUGGAAAACUGAGAAAUUAAGAGUUGAGCUUGUGCUUUAGUUAAUAGUAUGGUACCAAUGUUAAUUUUUUAGUUUGAUGUUUGUACCAUGAUUAUUUGUGAUUUUAGCAUUAGGGGAAGCAGGAUGAAUGGUACACAGGAACUCUCUGGCUACCUUCACAACACUUCUAUAAGUCUAAACUUACUUCAGAAUAAGAAGUCUCUAGAUAAAGACAAUGUAUAUGCAUAUACUCAUAUGGGUAUGCAAUCAUAUAAAUGUGUACAUAUACACAUACAUAUGUAUGAAUAUAUCUGUGAAAUGUAAAAGGUAGUAAUGUACUACAAUGUUUUAAAAUGGACUGAAUAACUGGGAUAUGACUGUUUUUCCAGUCAAAAGUAUUUCCCAAUUACUGACUGGUGACUAAAAUGUUCUUAUUUUAGUUAUCAGAAGAUAGAGACUCAACAGAGCCUUGUUACUAGCUCUAUUAAUAAGAACAAAGCCAAAUUAAGGCAUUCACACCUUAUAGAACAUCAGAAUGAAUACAAAUUCCUUCCCUGAAGCCAUAGAAUCAUGUGAUAUAUUGCAACCUCUCUAGAAGUCAAAUAAACACACAAUAAAAUAAUAAUAAGACUCCAUAGACGACCACUGGAUGAUACACAUCAAAUCACCCAAAUCCAACACUAAAUGGGGCUGGAAGUGAACAUUAACAGAUCCUUCUUGAAAGGCUAUUUACAUACCAUGAACCUUUAUGUAGUUAUGUAAUUUGGCCUAAUAUUCCUACUUUUCAAAAUCUAUAAUAAGGAAAUAAUUUAAAAAUUAGUCAAAAAUUUAUGUAAAUCAUGUUUAUUACAGUGCUAUGUGUAACACUAAAGAUAUUUUAAUUGCCCUAUGUCAAUGGUUGAAUUGUGUUCCCCGGAAAUUCAUAUGUUAAAGUCCUAAUCCCCACUGCCUUAGGACAUAUAUUAGAGUUAGGGUCUUUAUAGAGGUAAUCAAAUCAACACAAAGUCAUUAGAGGGGCUCUAAUCCAGCAUGACUGAUAUCCUUAUGAAAAAUGGAAAUUUGGACACAGAGAUGGUUGGGGAGAAUGCCACAUGCAAUUGAAGGAGAGAUGGGGGUGAUGUUUCUACCAGCCAUGGACGCCAAAGAUUACCGGCAAACCCUGAGGCUCAAGCAGGGGCCUGGGGCAGAUCCCCUCGUGGUCCUCAGAGGGAAAGAGCCCUGCUGACACCUGAAUCUUGAACUGCAAGCUCUAGAGCUGUGAGACAAUACAUUUUAAUUUUAAGCCACAAAGUUUGUGGUACUUUGUUUUGGUAGCCUUAGCAAACUAAAACAACAUAAUCAUCAAAAAAAGAAUGAUUGACACAUUCUAACACACACAGACACUAACACACACAUGCAAUAUAACAACAUAAUUAUCAAAAGAAUGAUUGACACAUUCCAACCCAUGCAGAAACUCACCUCACACAUGCAGUAAAACAACAUAAUCAUCAAAAGAAUGAUUGACACAUUCCAACCCACACAGAAACUCACACACACAUGCAAUAAAACAACAUAAUCAUCACAAGAAUGAUUGACACAUUCCAACACACACAGAAACUGACACACAUGUGUAAUAAAACAAUAUAAUUAUCAAAAGAAUGACUGACACAUUCCAACACACACAGAAACUGACACACACGUGCAAUAAUGUCUUGCUACAGUUAAAAAUCACAAAUUGGAAGAAUAUUUAAUGCCAUCAUAAAAUUCUCACCUUGUAGUAAUGAGUAAAAUCAGGAGGAUGUUGAUCGAACAUUCAUGUUUUUGUAGUGGCAUUAAUGGCUUUUAAAGUUAAUUUAAAAACUAAGUCAUGUAUCUGGAAAAUGUGGGUAAUGCACGUCAACAAACUCUUUAUAUACUUAAGGGAAAAAAUACCUUAAAUUAUACUGGGAAAUUGGUAUAAUUUGAGUGUCAUUUUUCAUAAUCCUUACAUAUAUUAAAAAUUCCCACCUAGCCAAGAUCCACCAACCAAACCAACCAACCAAAAAUAAGACACAAAAUCCCUGAAGCCAGACUUUAUUUUCUUCACUCAGUUUAAAGGUUUCUCCAUCUCUUCCCUUCUGGGAGCCCAGAGACAGAGCACAACUUGAUGCCCACUCAUCCAUUCAUUUAGUCACUCAUUCAUUUAUUUUAAAAAUCAAAGUAUUUCUCAUGAAAUAAUCUGAAUUUUGAGCCUCUCUUGGAAAACAACAAGAAGGAGCAGCCCUGAGCCGGGCUCCCCACAGGGCACUGACCGCUGUGUCAUCAAGAUCCCAACAGCCUUGCUGGGCAGCUGCAGCUCUUACUGCAAACCUGGCAGUGGAAGGUACUUGAGUUUCUUCCUCCUGACCAGUGGGUCCAAUCCUGCCCGAGUGUUUGUGAAGAUUCUUUAAUCUAUGAGAACACGAAGCAAAUCUGUGCAGUGAAUACAUAAAAGUACAAUUAUCAUCACGUGGAAUCCAGAAGCUUGUGUAACAUCAGGAGAACACAGCCCUCACAUUUAUGAAAGCCUGGAACCACGGAACCAAUGAUUAUCUGCUAACUUUAUCAAUGCAAAAGCAAAACAAAAUCUGUAACCCUGCCCCCCACUCCACACCUACAUUUCAAGAAAGGGGAGGCUGUGCCUGGUGACAGCAGGUGCCCUUGCCUCUGCCUUCACAGCCUCUGCUCCUGUCUCCCUCACGCUCAGUUUCUGGAGGCCUCUGCUCAGCACCUCUGAGGACACAGGGCUCAGACCUUGGCUGUUCUGUGCUGGAGCCCACAAUGCACCCCAGGUCAAUGCUGCUUAUCACCACCCAGCUGCCUGAUGCGGUCCUGGUGUCCACCCAAGCUGAAGGAAACUGGUAACUCCUAUCCUACCUGUGGCUGGAAGGCCAAGACCCAGGAAUACUUGGAGAAACAUCAGCUAUGACCAUGGUCCAGCAUCUCUGAGGGAGGCAGGAGCUAAGGACAGUAUGUGCCAGUCCCUCAAUCUGAUGCCAACAGAGUCUGUGAGCCGGACACAGGGGCCAGAGCCUCUCUGCAGCCCCACACAGUGGUGGAACAGACAGAGAGAUGAGAAGACUCAAGAGGUACAGCAGGCAGUGGUCCAUGGGAACCCUCAUAUCCUGAGUCACAGGAUUCUUGAUAAGGCCCUGGCCCUCCUCCCUAGGAAGCCCUUUCCUGCCAGGGUGGGCUCUUGCUGGCCCUGGGCUGCCCGGCAGGGCCUUCUUCCCCAUCCUCCAUGGUCAACUCUGAAGUGUGAGCUGGGAUGAGCCUCCCCUGGGCCCACACAGCCUGCAGCGAGCUCCUUCCCUAGAAAAGUCUGGCAGUGCAAGGACACGUUCAGAUAUCAAGAAGUCACAGAGAUUCAAACCCAGGCACAUGUUUUUAUCUCGCUGUGUUGUUUUGGGGUGUAUAUUUCUCUUAAAAGCUUCAUAGAUCUCUCAUUUAUUUGACUCUAGACAGAUUCAUGUGCCAACUCCUUUUGCCAUGCUCCUUUUGCCAUAUCCACACUCCUUUUCCAGACACACCUCUUAGAUUUGGUGUAUUUCUGUGUGUUCUUCUCCAGCACCUCUUUCUCUGUGUCAGGCUUCAGGCUUCAGUGGGAGAGCCACACCCGUCUC